rnacentral:tRNA from 1 species
CGGGUUAGUGGUGCUGCCAACGCAGCUUGGCGCUGCAAACGCCGAGAUCGACUCGUUGCAUCGAGUAGGUCAGGGGUUCGAUUCCCCUUAGCUCCACCA